rnacentral:rRNA from 1 species
AACGAACGCUGGCGGCGCGCCUAACACAUGCAAGUCGAACGAGAAGGCGUAGCAAUACGCUUGUAGGGUGGCGAACGGGUGAGUAAUACGUGGGUGACCUACCCUCGAGUGGGGAAUAACCCGCCGAAAGGCGGGCUAAUGCCGCGUACGCUUCCGUCCUCACGGGGACGGAAGGAAAGCUGUACCGUGGGUACGGCGCUCAAGGAUGGGCUCACGUCCUAUCAGCUUGUUGGUAGGGUAACGGCCACCAAGGCUACGACGGGUAGCUGGUCUGAGAGGACGAUCAGCCACACUGGCACUGCGACACGGGCCAGACUCCUACGGGAGGCAGCAGUGAGGAAUAUUGCGCAAUGGGCGAAAGCCUGACGCAGCGACGCCGCGU